rnacentral:rRNA from 1 species
AUACGGAGGGUGCAAGCGUUGUUCGGAAUCACUGGGCGUAAAGGGCGCGCAGGCGGUUUGGUAAGUCAGAUGUGAAAGCCCACGGCUCAACCGUGGAAGUGCAUUUGAAACUGCCAGACUUGAGUACCAGAGGGGAAGGUGGAAUUCCCGGUGUAGAGGUGAAAUUCGUAGAUAUCGGGAGGAAUACCGGUGGCGAAGGCGACUUUCUGGCUGGAUACUGACGCUGAGGCGCGAAAGCGUGGGGAGCAAACAGGAUUAGAAACCCUAGUAGUCC